UUUUAUUAUAGUACAUUUUUAUGAACAUCCUGUUUUACUAUUGUUGUCUUGUCUAAUUUACAAAUUCAACUUUAUCAUAGGUAUAUAUGUAUACGAAAAAAACAGCAUAUACAGCGCUCAGACUAUGCCGGUUUCAGGCAUUCACGGGAGCAGGAUCUUGGAACAUAUCCUCCCCCCCACCCCGCCCCUCUCAUGGAGGGACUACUAUAGUUUGAUCAAGGAAACUUUACAGGUGACCCCAACACUCUGGUUAGCGUAAGGCAAAAAAACAGCAAGAAAACAAACAAAAAAACAAAGACUAAACGUCUUAGGAAUACAUUACAAAUGUAGAUAAUUGUCUAUAAACCAUAAAAACGACUUACAAAUGUUAAAAUUAUUUUUUCCAAAGGUAACUUUAAUUUCAAAACCACUGUUAGGUGGAGUCAUCUGUUACUGCUAGUUAGAGGAAGAUAAAUCUAAAGCACUUGGCCAAAAUAGUUGGUAGGACUCCAACACUUCCCAGUAUACACAACUCCCUUUUACCCUCCUCCCGUCUUAGCAUCUGCGGCGCCCCGAGCUAAAGACAAUUUUGAGUACUGCCCAGCUGCCAGUGCUCCUUUUAAAUACGAUUUUUGCUGAAAACUGAAGAAUGAACUCUACACAGUACUGAAAGCAGGGCGGUGAGUGAAAUCCCCUAGACAGCAUGCAGCGUUUCAAAGAAGCCACAAAAACCCGGGCCAGCAAUCGAUUUCGCCUGGGUUCUUUUUGUUUUGUUUCAAUACGCCUGGGGCAGCAGCAUAGAGGUUCGAAGGCGGAGACUGGAAUUGCCUGCCAAGCCCCGGCGCUCGGUCACAGGGAGGCAGCGUCUCCAGGUUCACACCAGGUCCAUCCCCCAUCCUCUUUCGCCAUUUAUCGUUUUCCCCUCCCCUCCCCCCAUCAUGUGACCGCAGCCUGGACUCCAGGCUUGUUUUUCCCCUCGGCUCAGCUCCACCGCGCAGGCGCCUCGGAGUCCAUUCAUUCGAAAUGCGUAACAAUGAGCCCCGGGGCCGAGCGACUCCGCGAGCUUCCCAGCUCGGCCGGAGCCGCUCGCGGCCCCGAAGGAGGCGGUGCCUCACUGGGGUCGCGGACUCGCGGCCGGCGCCCAGCCCGGGCCGAUCUCCCACCCUCCGCCCACUCGCGGGGAGGCGAAGUAAAACUUUCCAGGGCAGCCCCUGCGCCGCGUCUGCCCCUUCCCCGCCCUGGCCCUCCCCGUGUCCGCACUCGGCUCGGCCACCCACUGCGCAGAACGGCCCCAAGCGCCCCGCACGCCGGCUCCUCCCAACCUCCGCCCCCGAGACCCCUGGGGCCGCGCCGCCGCGCAGCCAGAGUGAACUCUUCGGAUUGGAUUACUGCCGAGACUCCGGGGACUCAAGCCUAACUUUGCCUCCGAAAUGGAUUGUGGGAGCAGCAUCCCCAGCCCCUCUCGCAGCACCCAUUCCGGGCCAUGAACAGCCAAAGUCGCUCGUUGCUCCCGGUUUGGCUGGCGGCCAAGAAAUUCUGCCUGAAGUUGCUAAUGCUUUGACUCAUCAGAAGAGGAUGGCUUCUCUGGCUUUACACUUCCCUUCACUUUAAACAUGGCUGUCCGUCACAGUCGUCUAGUCUGUAAUUGAUGCUUUUACCAUUCACAUUACAAAGGAUCUAGGUAGGUUUCCAAUUAGGACAAAGAUGGAAAGUCAGCAAUUUGAAGCAACUUUAUCCAAGAUUUUGACUGGUCAUAUUUAUGACUCAUAAACUUAUCCAAGAGUUCUGCUUUGUAAACUUUUUUUUCAGGUUAAAGAGAAAACAUUGAGGGUUUCACUUCUGGGUUGUUGCAGUCAAGGGUUAAGGCUGCUUUUGUCAUUCCAGAGUCCAUUUCCAGCUCACACCUACUUUCCCUUCCACCUAGAAAAAUGACUCAUUCUCUGUUCUUCUAAUUGACAGUAAACAAUGCAUUUACUUACUAUAACGACUCGGUUAUAAUUGGUACUAAUGAAACGUUUGGUGUAUAUACAUUUUGCAGAGCAUUUUUUGUUUUCUUUUCUUUGGUUUUUGAGGGAGGAAAUGGCAAGACUCAGGCAGGCUGUGGUUAAAUCAGAAUCGGGGAAACCCACGUACGUAAGUUGCAUUUCAUUUUUAUGGUGCAAGUAUUUCCCUAUCAAACAUCAUCACGCCUUCCCACAUAUAAAUGUCACCUGCCUCCUCAGGAUUUCCUAGGCAAUUUUAGAUUACACACUUCAAGCAUAAAAGGGACGGAAAGCCUACAUCUGUUGGUCAAAUAGUUUUCCUCUCAAAAUAGUCUAUCUGCAUUGGGAAGUUUCUACAAAUUUCACUGUAUACUAGGCUCAAUACAGAAAAAUCUGUGAGACCAAGAAUUGCAUAAGGAACAAAAAGCUCUCAACUGCCUGGGAGUUCUGCCCUGGACUCAGAUCAAUGAUUUGGUGAAGUCAAUUGAUUAUUCUCAGUUACAGAAACUGAACUGACUUAAGCACACAGUUAUUAUUGGCAUGUAAGUCUGCAAAUACCUGGUAUGUUUUAUUGCUUCUAUUUCCACAAUACAUUACACUAUGAAGGGUUUUUUAAGUACUUGUGAGGUCUAACAGCUAUAUAGACUUGCUCAACCAGUUUUGCUGCCCAGAACAGGUAAGGUCAUAUCUUACUCUAGUUGCUUUUUGUCAAGAUUCUUUCAGACAUUCAACAUCAGGCUGUACCCCACACUUUCAGUGUUAGAAGCCAGCGUUCCAACUCCCUUUCUCCCUUCUGCUUUAAUAAUUCUGUUUCUCCCUUAGGUAUUGACAUUUGAUCUAGAUAGAGUCCCUUCAGUUACUUAACAAAGCCUUGGCUUAUCCAGAUGUGUUACUUACCUUUAUGCCUACACAUUAUUUUAAGAAUGCCAAAGGUCAUCUAAUCUUCGUUAUAACAUUUGAGAAAAUUAGGAAAAAUUACAUCCAUAUUUUAAAGAUGAUUUGGAAAGGAAAAGCACUCAGCACUUAAUCUUACCUAUGUCAAAGUCCAAAGUCCCUGGCUUUACACCCUAAGUUUCACUUGCAGCAUUUUAAAGCAUUUUAAAUAGCCAGUUUGUGACAGUAAACCGGAUACAUUCAGCCAAGUGUGUCACAGGUAAGAUAAUAUACACAAGCCCUAGUUCAUAUUGAUGCACAGGAACCACCACCACCACCAGAGAGAAAUAAGGGGAAGCACCUUUGUGUUAAAAGGAUUCCCAAAAGAAUUCUUAGCCACAUUUAGUGCACCCUUGAAUGAAAUUGGAGAAUUUUCAAAUAGUAAGUACUCUAGCUAGUGACUAAAUAUUGGCGUCUAGAUACUUUAACACAUAAACUCCCUGAUUAGCCACACGUAAUGUGGUUAUUCUAAGUGGCCAGAUGAGUCCGCAACAUACCACAGUUAUAUCACACAUGCCUGAAGGUUAAACUUGUUAACAGUGUCUGCCAGCAGCCC